rnacentral:rRNA from 1 species
UACAGAGGGGGCAAGGGUUGUUCGGAAUUACUGGGCGUAAAGGGCGCGUAGGUGGCCAACUAAGUCAGACGUGAAAUCCCUCAGCUUAACUGGGGAACUGCGUCUGAUACUGGAUGGCUUGGAUCCGGGAGAGGGAUGCGGAAUUCCAGGUGUAGCGGUGAAAUGCGUAGAUAUCUGGAGGAACACCGGUGGCGAAGGCGGCAUCCUGGACCGGUAUUGACGCUGAGGAGCGAAAGCCAGGGGAGCAAACGGG